CCUACGGGUGGCAGCAGUGAGGAAUAUUGGUCAAUGGGCGCGAGCCUGAACCAGCCAAGUAGCGUGAAGGAUGACUGCCCUACGGGUUGUAAACUUCUUUUAUAAGGGAAUAAAGGUGUCCCCGUGUGCCUUUUUGUAGGUACUUUAUGAAUAAGGAUCGGCUAAUUCCGUGCCAGCAGCCGCGGUAAUACGGAGGAUCCGGGCGUUAUCCGGAUUUAUUGGGUUUAAAGGGAGCGUAGAUGGGUUGUUAAGUCAGUUGUGAAAGUUUGCGGCUCAACCGUAAAAGUGCAAUUGAUACUGGCAGUCUUGAGUACAGUGGAGGUAGGCGGAAUUCGUGGUGUAGCGGUGAAAUGCUUAGAUAUCACGAAGAACUCCGAUUGCGAAGGCAGCUUACUAAACUGCCACUGACAUUGAUGCUCGAAAGUGUGGGUAUCAAACAGGAUUAGAUACCCCUGUAGUC
rnacentral:rRNA from 1 species